rnacentral:rRNA from 1 species
UGCGCCAGGGAACUACGAGCAACGCUUAAUACCCAAAGGACUUGACGGUACCCCAUACCCACCUAGAGGAGCCUGUCCUAUAAUUGAUGACCCCCGCUAUACCUUACCACUUUUUGCCUUUCAGCUUGUAUACUUCCGUCUUCAGCUUACCCCGUGAGCGCAACUCAGUGAGCUUAAUGCCAACUUCGACAAUACGUCAGGUCAAAGUGCAGCUAAUAAAGUGGAAAGAGAUGGGCUACACUCUCUAACCUAGAGAAAACGAAAGACUAUGCUGAAACCAUAUCCAAAGGCGGAUUUAGAAGUAAAAAGAAAACAAUGAGUUCUUUUUAACCUGGCCCUGGGGUGUGUACACACCGCCCGUCACCCUCA